AGCAAUUUGGCGCAGUGGAAGCGCGGUAUGUCUACAGUUCAAGUCCUUGAAUCAUCGAUUCAAAAUCUAACUUAUCCCAGCCGGGCUCAUAACCCGGAGGUCGCACGAUCGAAACGUGCAAUUGCUA